UACGUAGGGUGCAAGCGUUAAUCGGAAUUACUGGGCGUAAAGCGUGCGCAGGCGGUUUUGUAAGUUUGUCGUGAAAGCCCCGGGCUCAACCUGGGAAUUGCGAUGAAGACUGCAAGGCUUGAAUCUGGCAGAGGGGGUAGAAUUCCACGUGUAGCAGGUGAAAUGCGUAGAGAUGUGGAGGAAUACCGAUGGCGAAGGCAGCCCCCUGGGAUAACACUGACGCUCAUGCACGAAAGCGUGGGGAGCAAACAGG
rnacentral:rRNA from 1 species